AGAAUAAUACUUUGCAAGGGACAGCAGCGCGAUGUCAAGCAGCAGCAUCAGCAGCAGGUUCUGCAGCUUCACGACCCUGGUGAGUCCACGGUCGUGCUCAACUCCCGCCAGGAGGGCGCGAAGGAGUUUCCCCUUGAACCCCAUGACCUGAUUCUCAGAUCGGAUUGAAGGUGUAUCUGCAUUUUACUUGUGCAACAUGAAGAUUUCAGAAGUUGAAGCGAAUGGAAAGAUAGAAGACGGUUUGAAAAAUAGGGAGAACAUCCAACAACGGGAAAACAGAGCAGGUCAUGGUGGAUGAAGAGAACAUUAACCGACAGACUUUGGGUAAAAAAAAUGGCUGCCUUGAUUUGUUUAUUUCUUAUCAAUUAAAUUUCUAUGUGAUGACUUCUCAAAUUUCCUUGAAAUUUGUCGAUUAAAGGAAAACUUGAACAAUUUCAUGGGAAGUAAAGCAGGGACUACACGAGAAUUGGAACAGAGGCACUGAAAAGCAUAAGAGGGCUCCUGCAGUGACAGUACUAUUUUUGCAGGUGAAGCAACAACCAAGUUUCCAAGUUUAUGUCAGACUUCAAGAGAAGGGGGUUUAGUAUUUUCUUGAUGGCACAUGUUGGAAGGUGCCAUCUUUAUUUCUCUUAUCUUAUGGAUUUCCUCACAAUUAUUUUCUUACAAUGUGCACAAUUUCGCAACAAUAAACAUUG